UUCACUGGUUCACGUACGAUCACCGAAGUUAAGCAAAGUCAUGCCCGGUCAUUACUGAGGUGGGUGGCUACUUGGAAGUACCAGGUGAUGUAA